CCCCACCUCACCCUCUCAUCCGCCCUUCCUAGGAAUUGGUCCCAUAAAGCACUGCAAGAAGCCGGAGGGAGCGAGGAGAGCAGGAAAGGAGUCUGGGCCGGAGGUUUGCUUCCUGAAAUCUUACCCUACAUGGCAAACACAUCUUCUGUUUUCCAUUGCCGUACCAAUUUGGUGGACAACGCUCAUCAUUCACUUGGAAUCUGUGGUUCUGAAUCAUACCGUUGCAGAGUUGAAACUGACCCAGGCAUCACAAAAGUCUGUCCUCCUUCUGCCAAAGGAGGAAAGGUGGGACCACUCCAAGCUCAGCUGGAAAACCUCCUGCGUAGAGGAGAGUCCACUAGCCUCCAAGGCAGUCUAAUAAAAGCUCUUGCCAUCAGAGAAUUCUUCCUAAGGUCUACUUUGAAUGCCUUGUAACUUGAACCCACAGGUUUGGGUCGCACCCACAAGAGCUUCAGAAGCCCAGUUUGCUCCAUCUUCCACGUGAUGGUCCUUCAGAGAUUUCAAGAUGACUAUCAGUCUUCUACGGGGUAAGCCUACCUUACAUCCUCAAACUUUCCAGCCCUCAUCGUUUCUUGAGAAGCAUUUGCGAGACUUUGGGCUAUGAUUUGGAAAAUAGAUAUCCACUCCAUUCUUCCCAUUUUUUUUGCCUUAAAUUUAAUGUGACACCUCAGUGAUUAAACCACAAUAGUGCAGCCCAAACUCUGCUCAUAGUCAGCAUUCAAUACCAAUGGAUUCUAACAGCCACUUGGAGGUUGACUCAGCCUUAUGAUCCUUCCAAAUUUGGAAAAAUGAGCACCCGGCUUGUAGGGAGGUGGGGGCAAAGCGUAGUCUGUAUAAUUAAAUUGUAAACCACCCCGAGAGUGCUUUAUGCACUAUGAGGUGCUAUACAAGCACCAUGCUUUGUUUUUUUUUUAAAAAAUCCCAAAUGUCACUGGCACUCAAAAUUAUUCCGGUGACGAACAUGAACAUCAGAGCUGUCCGCCGACAUUUGGCCGGCUGAGAUGAAGCGCAAGGUGGAGAUUGUCCUCAUUCAUGUGCAAAGGCCAAGCGGAAUUUCCUUCCACACUUGUGAUAGAACCACAGCAUUCCCCAUGACAUCUUGAAGGCAGCAGCUUUGGGGGUGGCAGGCAGGCUGCUUAGAGCUUCCUUCUCUCCUCUUUGCUCCCAGUCUGGGCUGUGCAGGACGCUGCUGGUGGCUUGGAUAAAAAGACGGAACAUGUUUUGCUUGAGUGAUAAACCUUUCCGGGUGAAGAAACCCCAGGAAGAAACAACAAUAACACAAUAAAGACAAAAGUGAUAUCA
rnacentral:lncRNA from 1 species